UGGGGCGUCGUCAAGUGGUAAGACUCGGGACUUUGGAUCCCGCAUCGCAGGUUCGAAUCCUGCCGCCCCAGCCA
rnacentral:tRNA from 1 species